AUCCAGCUGACGAGUCCGUAAUAGGACGAAACGCGCAUCCUGGAU
rfam:Schistosoma curassoni strain Dakar, Senegal genome assembly, scaffold: SCTD_scaffold0006811